AAUAGAUACCCUGGUAGUCCACGCCGUAAACGAUGUCGACUUGGAGGCUGUUCCCUUGAGGAGUGGCUUCCGGAGCUAACGCGUUAAGUCGACCGCCUGGGGAGUACGGCCGCAAGGUUAAAACUCAAAUGAAUUGACGGGGGCCCGCACAAGCGGUGGAGCAUGUGGUUUAAUUCGAUGCAACGCGAAGAACCUUACCUACUCUUGACAUCCACGGAACUUUUCAGAGAUGAAUUGGUGCCUUCGGGAACCGUGAGACAGGUGCUGCAUGGCUGUCGUCAGCUCGUGUUGUGAAAUGUUGGGUUAAGUCCCGCAACGAGCGCAACCCUUAUCCUUUGUUGCCAGCGGUUAGGCCGGGAACUCAAAGGAGACUGCCAGUGAUAAACUGGAGGAAGGUGGGGAUGACGUCAAGUCAUCAUGGCCCUUACGAGUAGGGCUACACACGUGCUACAAUGGCGCAUACAAAGAGAAGCGACCUCGCGAGAGCAAGCGGACCUCAUAAAGUGCGUCGUAGUCCGGAUUGGAGU
rnacentral:rRNA from 1 species